rnacentral:rRNA from 1 species
GAUGAACGCUGGCGGCGUGCCUAAUACAUGCAAGUCGAGCGAACAGACGAGGAGCUUGCUCCUCUGACGUUAGCGGCGGACGGGUGAGUAACACGUGGAUAACCUACCUAUAAGACUGGGAUAACUUCGGGAAACCGGAGCUAAUACCGGAUAAUAUAUUGAACCGCAUGGUUCAAUAGUGAAAGACGGUUUUGCUGUCACUUAUAGAAGGAUCCGCGCCGCAUUAGCUAGUUGGUAAGGUAACGGCUUACCAAGGCAACGAUGCGUAGCCGACCUGAGAGGGUGAUCGGCCACACUGGAACUGAGACACGGUCCAGACUCCUACGGGAGGCAGCAGUAGGGAAUCUUCCGCAAUGGGCGAAAGCCUGACGGAGCAACGCCGCGUGAGUGAUGAAGGUCUUCGGAUCGUAAAACUCUGUUAUUAGGGAAGAACAAAUGUGUAAGUAACUAUGCACGUCUUGACGGUACCUAAUCAGAAAGCCACGGCUAACUACGUG